GAGAGAUAGUCAGAAGCAUCGAUGAGAGAGAAACAUCGAUCAGCUGCCUCCUGCACAUCUCCUACUGGGAAUGUGCCCGCAAUUAAGGUACAUGCCCUUGACCGGAAUCGAACCUGGGACCCUUCAGUCCGCAGGCUGACGCUCUAUCCACUGAGCCAAACCGCAUACACUGACAUCUUAAUUUUUAUACUUAAAAGGAAUUUGUAUGAAGACUAACAUACUAGUAUCACUUUUACAUUAUUCAUAAUGGAUGGUAAUACACUUUUCUGACUUUACUGGGUCUAUUAUUUUCUAAAAAUCAAAGCAUUUCCUCACCACCAUCCCCAUUUUGAGUGGUUUUGAAAUGCUUUUCAACUUGCAAAGGAUAGUAUAAUUGCUGUAUUGAAAACUGUACCUGUAUGUAACUGUAUUUAUUUUUCUACAUCAGACAGUGUAUGGAACUGUCUGCCCUGCUAACAUUGAUUCUCUAGUUCCUGCCCCCCACCCCCAUUAAUCUCCAGAAUUUAGCUUCAUUUUCUGGUUUUCACUGAUGACAGAGCAGUUAGUUCACUGUAGGAGAUUUUUCUCAUUUAUUACACUAUACUUAGCAAACAAUUAUCAAGCUCCUACUGUGUUACAGGUACUGUACCAGGGGCUGGGGUCAUAAAAAUAAGACAUCUUGUUUAAUGUCCUUUGCCUCUCCCAGUUAUCUCAGGAAUAGAUUCUUCCUCUGUUUACUAUAAAAAUUAACUAAUACUGGCUGGUAAUUGUACAUAGUGCUGGUGUACUGUUAAAUGCACUAGUAAGGAAGAGUAAAAACUUGUUUUGUUUUGGAAAUAGCUUUAUUGAGAUAAUUUACAUAUCAUAAAAUUCACCCAUUUCAAGAGUACAAUUUAAUGAUUUUUAGUAAAUUUACUGAGUCUUGCAACUAUCACUAAAGUCCAGUUUUAGAACAUUUCCAUCACCCCAAAGAGACCCCUCGUGCAGUUAAUCCCUGUUCUUACCCAUCAGCUCUAGGCAACCAUUUAUCUACUUUGUCUUUUCUGAAGAUUUCAUAUAAAUGGAAUCAAAUAAUAUGUGGCCAUUUGGAACUUGCUUCUUUCAUUUGGCAUAAUGAUUUCAAGGUUCAUCCAUUUUGUAGCACAUAUGGAUACUUCAUUUACUUUUAUUGCUGAAUAAUAUUACAUUAUAUGAUUUCCCUAUUUUAUCUACUCAUGGUUGAGGGACAUAGGAUUGUUUCUACUUUUUGGCUAUAUGUGUACACCUGAAACUAGUAUGUUAUGUCAAUAACACCUCAAUAAAAAUAAUAAAUACAAGAAGGAUAAACCAGAAA